GAUGAACGCUGGCGGCGUGCCUAAUACAUGCAAGUCGAGCGAACAGAUGAGAAGCUUGCUUCUCUGAUGUUAGCGGCGGACGGGUGAGUAACACGUGGGUAACCUACCUAUAAGACUGGGAUAACUCCGGGAAACCGGGGCUAAUACCGGAUAAUAUUUUGAACCGCAUGGUUCAAUAGUGAAAGACGGUUUCGGCUGUCACUUAUAGAUGGACCCGCGCCGUAUUAGCUAGUUGGUAAGGUAACGGCUUACCAAGGCGAAGAUACGUAGCCGACCUGGGAGGGUUAUCGGCCACACUGGAACUGAGACACGGUCCAGACUCCUACGGGAGGCAGCAGUAGGGAAUCUUCCGCAAUGGGCGAAAGCCUGACGGAGCAACGCCGCGUGAGUGAUGAAGGUCUUCGGAUCGUAAAACUCUGUUGUUAGGGAAGAACAAAUUUGUUAGUAACUGAACAAGUCUUGACGGUACCUAACCAGAAAGCCACGGCUAACUACGUGCCAGCCGCCGCCGUAA
rnacentral:rRNA from 1 species